AGGACGAACGCUGGCGGCGCGCUUAAUACAUGCAAGUCGAGCGAGAAGCCACCGCUCCGUAAGGAGUGGUGGUGGAAAGCGGCGAACGGGUGAGUAACACGUGGGUAAUGUGCCCUGAACAUCGGGAUAACAGCCGGAAACGGCUGCUAAUACCGAAUAACCCUGCAAUGUCGCAUGACGAAGCAGGCAAAGUUCCGGCGGUUCAGGAUCAGCCCGCGGUGUAUCAGCUUGUUGGUGGGGUAACGGCCUACCAAGGCUUUGACGCAUAGCUGGCGUGAGAGCGCGACCAGCCACACUGGGACUGAGACACGGCCCAGACUUCUACGGAAGGCAGCAGUAGGGAAUCUUGCGCAAUGGGCGAAAGCCUGACGCAGCGACGCCGCGUGAGGGAUGACGGCC
rnacentral:rRNA from 1 species